CAUCAAAGGAUUUAACAAGUAUCUUAAGAGUUCCUAAAGUAUUUUUAUAGAUUAAAUUUAAUUUUUUUUUGUGUAAUUAGAUCGAUGGUUACAUAAGAUAUUUUAGAUGAGUUUAGAAACUUGGCUGUGUCAGUUUCUGAUUGGAUGAGUAAAAAAUAAAAAUUUAUUUUUUUGUUACCCGAUUUUCUCUCUCGUCUCUCUCGUCUCUCUCGUUUAUUUCGAAGUCGAUAGGUUCUCCACAAAGAAGAAGCAAAGAAUUGAAGGUGAUUCUCAAUUGGAAAGGGGAUUUCACCGUCGGCUCAUCUCCACCGUUCUGGGCUCAUCAAUCCGGGAGUCUUUUGGUUGACCCAACCGGAUUUUCUAGUGGCUAAAUCUCCAAAGGGGUGGUUCAAUGAUGCUAUAUCAAAGCAGAGAAAGGUUCAAAAUCAUUGAAAGAGAAGCUUGCUGCUGUGACGCCUCUUGUUGAGGACUUGAGAUUGCAAAAAGAUGAAAGAAUGGCUGCUCUUGGAGUCUUAAACAUCCAUUCACCGAUCAAAGCAGAGAAGGUGGUCUUAUUUGCGCAAUGCCAAACAUUUGCAGAUGAGUUAUCUUACUCAACUCUUGACUGUUUAUUUAUUCAUUGAUUACGUUGAUGGUUUUGGUUGCUGGUCUGAGCGUAUUUAGUAACGAAUCAGUUUGAUUGAAAAAGAUAAUUAUUCAUUGAUGUCUCUUUCUCUUUCUUAGUCUUUCGGAUAUUUGCAUCAUGAAUUUGCAUCAUUCAAUUGACAAGAAUUGUUUGGUAAAUGUCACUCUUAAACACUCAAUGGUUUGUAACUUGUCAUUGUUUGCUUGUAUUGUCACAUUUAAACAUACAUUGUUGGUUGUUGUCACAGUAAUACACUUAUUGUCUAGUGUUAGGUUAUACUUAAUGCUUGGUAGUUGUCAUUGAUUGCUUGUUAUGUCACAUUUAAAAACCAAAUACACUUACACCUCACUUCUAGUUAUAUAUUAAGUGUUGGCUGAACCUAAACAUAUACCUUUCUUUCUCCUUUACAUACCUAACCAGAUAAUCAAUCCUUCAUGAUUGCUAUGUCUCCUUCCAUUAGGAUUGCCGACAAGAAGAAGAAGAAUACAAGAAGUUGUUGGUCACGGACAAGAAGCUUUUGGGCAGGGACAACAAGCAACGAGUCACGGACCUGCAUCUUUUUCUCACGGACAAGAAGCAACGAGUUCACGGACAUGCAUCUUUUUCUCAAGGACAGCAAGCAACGAGUUCACGGACCUGCAUAGUUGGUCACGAACGAGAGUGUCAUGCCUUUGUAACACCACAAGGUCAUCAAUAUAUAAGACCAUCUUCGUAGACACAUUACGGUCAAGCUUUUUCAUCUUUGUACCCACAAUAUCAAGCUUUUUCAUAUUUGUACCCACAAUAUUAAGUUUUUUCAUCUUCCAAAAAUACAUAUUCUUCUUCUUGUACAAUAUUAUUCUCCCAGUUUAUCAAACUCUUCUUCUAUUUUUUUUUUUA